GCCGGGUUGGCGGAACGGCUAACGCGCACGGCUCGAGACCGUGUUCCCGCAAGGGAGUCCAGGUUCGAAUCCUGGGCCCGGCG
rnacentral:tRNA from 1 species